rnacentral:rRNA from 1 species
GAUGAACGCUAGCUACAGGCUUAACACAUGCAAGUCGAGGGGCAGCACAGUGUAGCAAUACAUGGGUGGCGACCGGCGCACGGGUGCGUAACGCGUAUCCAACCUUCCCGUUACUCAGGGAUAGCCUUCCGAAAGGGAGAUUAAUACCUGAUGGUGUUGAAAUUCCGCAUGUUAUUUCAACUAAAGAUUUAUCGGUAACGGAUGGGGAUGCGUGACAUUAGGUAGAUGGCGGGGUAACGGCCCACCAUGCCUACGAUGUCUAGGGGUUCUGAGAGGAAGGUCCCCCCACACUGGAACUGAGACACGGUCCAGACUCCUACGGGAGGCAGCAGUGAGGAAUAUUGGUCAAUGGGCGCAAGCCUGAACCAGCCAAGUAGCGUGAAGGAAGACUGCCCUA